rnacentral:rRNA from 1 species
ACUGAACGCUGGCGGCAGGCCUAACACAUGCAAGUCGAGCGAGCGGCGGACGGGUGAGUAAUGUAUGGGGACCUGCCUGAUGGCGGGGGAUAACUACUGGAAACCGUAGCUAAUACCGCAUACCAUCAGAUGUACCCAUAUGGGAUUAGCUAGUAGGUAAGGUAACGGCUAACCUAGGCGACGAUCCCUAGCUGGUCUGAGCGGCUGAUCAGCCACACUGGGACUGAGACACGGCCCAGACUCCUACGGGAGGCAGCAGUGGGGAAUAUUGCACAAUGGGCGAAAGCCUGAUACAGCCAUGCCGCGUGUAUGAAGAAGGCCUGCGGGUUGUAAAGUACUGUCAGUCGGGAGGCGUUACCGACAGAAGAAGCACCGGCUAACUCCGUGCCAGCAGCCGCGGUAAUUC